UACGUAGGGGGCAAGCGUUGUCCGGAAUCAUUGGGCGUAAAGCGCGUGUAGGCGGUCCGGUAAGUCCGCUGUGAAAGUCCGGGGGCUCAACCCCCGGGAGGCGGGCGGAUACUGUCGGGCUAGAGUCCGGAAGAGGCGAGUGGAAUUCCUGGUGUAGCGGUGAAAUGCGCAGAUAUCAGGAGGAACACCAAUGGCGAAGGCAGCUCGCUGGGACGGUACUGACGCUGAGGCGCGAAAGCGUGGGGAGCAAACAGG
rnacentral:rRNA from 1 species